rnacentral:rRNA from 1 species
UACGUAGGGGGCAAGCGUUGUCCGGAAUUAUUGGGCGUAAAGAGCGCGUAGGCGGUCCGAUAAGUCGGCUGUGAAAGUCCAGGCUCAACCCUGGAAAGCCGGCCGAUACUGUCGGACUAGAGUCCGGAAGAGGCAAGUGGAAUUCCCGGUGUAGCGGUGAAAUGCGUAGAUAUCCUGAGGAACACCGGUGGCGAAAGCGGCGCGCUAGACACCUUCUGACGCUGAGGCACGAAAGCCAGGGGAGCAAACGGGAGUUA